GCAUUGGUGGUUCAGUGAUAGAACUCUCACCUUCCACGUGGUGAGCCUCAGGUUCGAUUCCUGGCCAAUGGA
rnacentral:tRNA from 1 species